rnacentral:rRNA from 1 species
GACGAACGCUGGCGGCGUGCUUAAUACAUGCAAGUCGAACGGAGUGGCGAACGGGUGAGUAACACGGUGGUGACCUGCCCUGCACCUCGGGAUAAGCCUGGGAAACUGGGUCUAAUACCGGAUAGUGUGGGAUGGGCCCGCGGCCAAUCAGCUUGAUGGUGGGGUAAUGGCCUACCAAGGUGGCGAGGGAUAGCCGGCCUGAGAGGGUGGACGGCCACAUGGGGACAUGGACACGGCCCAGAAUGGAACGAUAGGCAGCAGUGGGGAAUAUUGCACAAUAGGCGGGCGCGUGAUGGAGAGGCUCCGCGUGGGUAAAGCCGGGCUGUGAGUUGUAACCUCCUUUCUCCAUAAACGCGGUAGAUGGAGAAGAAGCACCGGCUAACUACGUGCCAGCAGCCGCGGUAAUAC